rnacentral:rRNA from 1 species
AGUGAACGCUGGCGGUAGGCCUAACACAUGCAAGUCGAACGGCAGCACAAUAAGAGCUUGCUCUUACGGGUGGCGAGUGGCGGACGGGUGAGGAAUACAUCGGAAUCUACUUUUUCGUGGGGGAUAACGCAGGGAAACUUACGCUAAUACCGCAUACGACCUACGGGUGAAAGCAGGGGAUCUUCGGACCUUGCGCGAUUGAAUGAGCCGAUGUCGGAUUAGCUAGUUGGCGGGGUAAAGGCCCACCAAGGCGACGAUCCGUAGCUGGUCUGAGAGGAUGAUCAGCCACACUGGAACUGAGACACGGUCCAGACUCCUACGGGAGGCAGCAGUGGGGAAUAUUGGACAAUGGGCGCAAGCCUGAUCCAGCCAUACCGCGUGGGUGAAGAAGGCCUUCGGGUUGUAAAGCCCUUUUGUUGGGAAAGAAAAGCAGCAGGUUAAUACCCCGCUGUUCUGACGGUACCCAAAGAAUAAGCACCGGCUAACUUCGUG